rfam:Eubacterium plexicaudatum ASF492 genomic scaffold acLZb-supercont1.28, whole genome shotgun sequence.
UCUAACUGAUAUUCCAAGAAGUGGAAUGACGGGGUAACGCCCUGAAACGCUUCCCUUGAUACUGCGUUGGAAGAAACGGGACGUAUUUCCCGCGACUGACACAGCACGCUGAAGCGGAAGAACGCUCUGACAGCGGCGGGACACGCGUGCUCCCGGAUGCCGCCGUGGAUGAGAUCUACCGCCUGAAAGCGGAAUUCCCAAGGCUGAACGC